rnacentral:lncRNA from 1 species
UGGAAACCUGAGGUUCAGGUGUUUUGCUGUCCACACAGCGAAAUUUUGUUUUCCAUAUAUAUAUAUUUUUCCUCCAGAGUUGCAACUUGUUUCCAGUGUAUCUGGUUAUGUUGUUGUGCAUCUCCAAGGUCUAGUUCUGUCUUCCCAAUAGCAUACCAUUAGGUAGCUGAACUGUGGAAUUUCCACCAAGACAAGUAUUGUGAACACAUUUGAAAAACAUCUUCUGGAAAGUGCUGGAAUUUCCCUCAACACAGGCGUUUAAUGAGGACCUAGAUGACAUUUGCAGAGCCUACAGCAUAGUGAAGACAGAAUGAUUUCUGGCCGUCUCUCUGAGUGCACAGUAAGAAGCAGCUUCCAUCUACACAGAUACUGCUCUGUGCUUCCCAGACUUACAAUGUGCGGGAACUGGUCCACAGCUUCUCGCAGCAUCUCAUUGCACCACGGAGACAGAAAACUCUUAAUGGUCCUUUUCAAGGUACAAUAAACAGAAAGCAGCUCUGCAAAGGGAGCAGCAAUAGCUGCUUAAUCAACAAUGGCUUCUACAAGAACGUCCAUCCCAGGAGCACAGCAGAACUGACAACGUAUCAUCUCUAUGACUGCUAGUCCAGCUUCUGGCUGAAAUGGGGCUGCUGUCAUCAGCACACAUGGGGCUGCUACAUGGAAGGAUUUUCUGGAGUAUUCAACCAAAGCCAGUCUGCAGUCCAGGUAAGACCAGCUCCUCCAUGAGAGCCAGGGGGCAUCUUCCAAGUUAUGAGCAGAGGGAUGGUGUGAACAGUGGCUGAUGGUACAAAUUUUUAUUUUGAAUAAAGUCCUGAGUGGGCAUUUAUUCGACUCA